rnacentral:rRNA from 1 species
UACAGAGGUCUCAAGCGUUGUUCGGAUUCAUUGGGCGUAAAGGGUGCGUAGGUGGCGCCGUAAGUCGGGUGUGAAAUUUCGGAGCUUAACUCCGAAACUGCAUUCGAUACUGCGGUGCUUUGAGGACUGGAGAGGAGACUGGAAUUUACGGUGUAGCAGUGAAAUGCGUAGAUAUCGUAAGGAAGACCAGUGGCGAAGGCGGGUCUCUGGACAGUUCCUGACACUGAGACACGAAGGCCAGGGGAGCAAACGGG